GAUGAAGAACGUAGCAAAAUGCGAUAAGUAGUGUGAAUUGCAGAAUUCAGUGAAUCAUCGAAUCUUUGAACGCACAUUGCGCCUCCUGGUAUUCCGGGAGGCAUGCCUGUUCGAGCGUCAUUAAAAUCACUCAAGCUUAGGUUUACCUAUUGCUUGGUCUUGGAGAUGGAAGCCAAUUUAUUGGAAUCCUCUUCGAAAUUCAAUGGCGAAGACCCUUGCUCUCCCAAGUGUAGUAAUAACUUAUGUCACUGAAGGAAGCGAGAAAUCUUCUGCCGUAACCCCCAUAUUUUCUAUGAUUGACCUCGGAUCAGGUAGGGAUACCCGCUGAACUUAAGCAUAUCAAUAAGCGGAGGA
rnacentral:misc_RNA from 1 species